rnacentral:rRNA from 1 species
AGCAGCCGCGGUAAUUCCAGCUCCAAUAGCGUAUAUUAAAGUUGUUGCAGUUAAAAAGCUCGUAGUUGAAUUUCGGGGUUAGUAGGUUGGUCAUGCCUCUGGUAUGUACUGGUCUCACUGAUUCCUCCUUCCUGAUGAGCCGUAAUGCCAUUAAUUUGGUGUUGCGGGGAAUUUGGACUGUUACUUUGAAAAAAUUAGAGUGUUUAAAGCAAGCUAACGCUUGAAUACAUUAGCAUGGAAUAAUGAAAUAGGACGUUCGAUCCUAUUUUGUUGGUUUCUAGGAUUGACGUAAUGAUUAAUAGGGAUAGUUGGGGGCAUUAGUAUUCAAUUGUCAGAGGUGAAAUUCUUGGAUUUAUUGAAGACUAACUACUGCGAAAGCAUUUGCCAAGGAUGUUUUCAUUAAUCAAGAACGAAAGUUAGGGGAUCGAAGACGAUCAGAUACCGUCGUAGUCUUAACCAUAAACUAUGUCGACUAGGGAUCGGAUGAUGUUAAUUUUUAAUGACUCAUUCGGCGCCUUAA